rnacentral:rRNA from 1 species
GACGAACGCUGGCGGCGUGCUUAACACAUGCAAGUCGAACGAUGAAGCCUAGCUUGCUAGGUGGAUUAGUGGCGAACGGGUGAGUAAUACGUGAGUGACCUACCUUUGACUCUGGGAUAAGCCUGGGAAACUGGGUCUAAUACCGGAUACGACCAAUCUCCGCAUGGGGUGUUGGUGGAAAGCGUUAUGGAGUGGUUUUAGAUGGGCUCACGGCCUAUCAGCUUGUUGGUGAGGUAAUGGCUUACCAAGGCGACGACGGGUAGCCGGCCUGAGAGGGUGACCGGCCACACUGGGACUAAGACACGGCCCAGACUCCUACGGGAGGCAGCAGUGGGGAAUAUUGCACAAUGGGCGCAAGCCUGAUGCAGCGACGCCGCGUGAGGGAUGACGGCCUUCGGGUUGUAAACCUCUGUUAGCAUCGAAGAAGCGAAAGUGACGGUAGGUGCAGAGAAAGCGCCGGCUAACUACGUG